rnacentral:rRNA from 1 species
CAGGGUACACCUACUAAACCCCCCGCAUCUAUAUAGAAGAGGCAAGUCGUAACAUGGUAAGCGUACUGGAAAGUGCGCUUGGACGAAC